rnacentral:lncRNA from 1 species
AUAUAUAUACAUAUACCCAUUCAAAUACACACCCCACACAUGCUAACAUGCUCUGUUCAAGUAGCAAUGACAAGAACAUUUUGAGAAGGGGUCUCUGCAUAGCAGCUGCCUUCCCGGUGUUUCACUCCCUGCCCAAAGAUGAGUGAAACAGGGGAAGAGGGGCAUUAGUGGGUAAGAAGAAUUGGCAGGUUUUGAUAGCAUUCAGGUUGUCUAAAGGACUGUGGGAACAGUGAAGGAUUUUAAGGCUGUGGGGACAGUCUGGGAGGUGGUAGAGGCUUUCAAAAAUUACCGAGAAUAGAGAAGAUGCAUGCUCACAAAUAUUUGGUGAGCAUGAGUUCAAGUGGAUGCAUAGUGUCCAGGGUCCGUGAGAUUGUCAGAUGAGAGUAGUCUGGGAGGAGACUAGAAACGGAGGACCAUCACCAAGAUGGAGAUGCAGAUGUGGAGCUGGGAGUCAACAGCAGAUGACAGCACAGCACAAAAGUUAAGACCUAACCUGCCUAGCUGUGCACGGAGUUUCUAGGGCCUGUUCUAUCCUCCACUGAGUGCAGUAUGGCACAGUUCUCCAAGCUCCACUUCCUGAUGCCAAGCAGAAAUGGUAAGGAGAAAAUGAGCAUAACCUUAAUGCUGCUGCAAUCAGUUGGUUGCAAUGUAAUGUUGUCCCUCGUAGAUGAUGCCUGCCUUCUCAAAGGUUCUGUUUUCCUAAGGAAGGGAUUAAGGAGGAGGUCAAAGGAGAUCAAGCAAGGACCCUGCAGCCUGUGGAAUAGUACAGUGGUAUUCAUGUAUGCACUCUUGUGAAGAAACCCUUGAUUUCUAUACCUACAAAGCCAUUUGGAGGCAGGGACUGCACUUCCUUUGAUACCCUGAUGCCUAUGAUACAUGCAGGAAGUUCUUGCUUUUAUCCCCAGUACCAUAUAACACAGCCAUGGUGGGCCAGGCCUCUAAUUCUGGCAUUUGGGAUCUUGGUGCUGGAGGAUCAGAAUCAAGGGCAUCUUGGAGAGAAAGGGUGUUUGAGGCUGGUCUGGUCUAUAUGGGCCCUUCACACACACACACACUCACACACACACACACACACACACACACACAGAGAGAGAGAGAGAGAGAGAGAGAGAGAGAGAGAGAGAGAGAGAGAGAGAGACAAACUCACACACACAAACUCACACACACACACACACACACACACACACACACUCACACACACACAUAUCUAGGAAUUCAUAUUGAUAUACAUCUUUGUUUGAGCAGCAAGCUAAGAGUUGAAUCUGCUUGAUGAUGCCUGAAAGAAACACUGAGCAGUUUCAGUGUGUUACUCUUAGAAGCAGAAAAAAGAAACAAAUGAAAUUAGUGCUCUGUGGUGGAUUCCUACAGAAAGGCAGUCCCUGCCUAUUACACAGAGAUUCUCUGUCCUUUUCAGUGCCCUUAACCAUGUACAUUUUCUCCUAAACCACCAUCCCAAGUACAGAGUUCAUGAACAGUUUCUCCAUUCCUGUACUGGUAGGUCACAAUGAGCACCAUGGAAACACUUCUUUUGUCACAAUGACUCCCAGCAAGACACCAGAGCCUUGGGCAGGGCUUCCCCAGUCUUGCCACACUGUCCAUCUGGGCUGGGAAUGGGAUGGGGGGCUGAUGAUCUCUGAGUCCUCAAUCAAGGAGUAGAACUUAUUUCCCAAGAAAAGACAAAAAAAUAGCUGGUUCAUCACUGCAACUAGCUGAUCACCAUUGGGACCCCUGGUCUUUCCUACUUUUUCUAACUGCCCUCUCCCUGCAGGAAAAAAGCCAGUCUUCUCAAGAAUCUUACUUCUCCGCAGAGGCUCUGGCCACAUUCAGACACCAGUUCCUGAGAGAUCUGUGCAGGAGGGCCCAGCUUAUCAGCACUGUCUCUAGAUCCUCAGCUCUGAGAGCUCGGCUAUCUCUCUACUCCCAAGACCACCUUCCAUUGGACAACAUCUGGUAUCAGGAAGAACUGAAGCAGCACUCGGCAUCCAGGCAGUGUGGGACAGGGUUCAGAGACAGUGAAAGGUGGUCUGCUACAAUCAGGUGAGGAGAAAAUUGGGUUCCUCUAGACCAGGCUCAUAUUUGAUGUUUGCUAAUCAGGUAAGUGUGGCCUCCCUAAGGAGGAGAUGUAUCCUUUCUCUACUGAUAUGUCUAUGACCUAAUGAUCUCAAACCCUGUGGAGAACCUUUGAUCCUUCUCUGGUUGUAGAAACUGGACCUCCACAGGUUGUAUGGCUAGAGGGAACCCAUUAGAUUUGAAUCUGUGAUAAUAGAGGCUCCAUAUCUAAGUUUGUGCUGCAUAUCUUACUACAUCUCCCAUCACAA